CGUGUCCUACGGGACGCAGCAGUGGGGAAUAUUGGGCAAUGGGCGCAAGCCUGACCCAGCAACGCCGCGUGAAGGAAGAAGGCUUUCGGGUUGUAAACUUCUUUUAUGAGGGACGAAACAAAUGACGGUACCUCAUGAAUAAGCCACGGCUAACUACGUGCCAGCAGCCGCGGUAAUACGUAGGUGGCAAGCGUUAUCCGGAUUUACUGGGUGUAAAGGGCGUGUAGGCGGGACUGCAAGUCAGAUGUGAAAACUAUGGGCUCAACCCAUAACCUGCAUUUGAAACUGUAGUUCUUGAGUGAUGG
rnacentral:rRNA from 1 species